rnacentral:rRNA from 2 species
UGGGGAAUAUUGCGCAAUGGGGGAAACCCUGACGCAGCGACGCCGCGUGCGGGAUGAAGGCCUUCGGGUUGUAAACCGCUUUUGAUUGGGAGCAAGCUUUCGGGUGAGUGUACCUUUCGAAUAAGCGCCGGCUAACUACGUGCCAGCAGCCGCGGUAAUACGUAGGGCGCAAGCGUUAUCCGGAAUUAUUGGGCGUAAAGAGCUUGUAGGCGGUUCGUCGCGUCUGGUGUGAAAGCCCAUCGCUUAACGGUGGGUCUGCGCCGGGUACGGGCGGGCUAGAGUGCAGUAGGGGAAACUGGAAUUCUCGGUGUAACGGUGGAAUGUGUAGAUAUCGGGAAGAACACCAAUGGCGAAGGCAGGUUUCUGGGCUGUUACUGACGCUGAGAAGCGAAAGCGUGGGGAGCGAACAGGAUUAGAUACCCUGGUAGUCCACGCCGUAAACGGUGGACGCUGGAUGUGGGGCCCAUUCCACGGGUUCCGUGUCGGAGCUAACGCGUUAAGCGUCCCGCCUGGGGAGUACGGCCGCAAGGCUAAAACUCAAAGAAAUUGACGGGGGCCCGCACAAGCGGCGGAGCAUGCGGAUUAAUUCGAUGCAACGCGAAGAACCUUACCUGGGCUUGACAUGUGCCUGACGACUGCAGAGAUGUGGUUUCCUUUCGGGGCAGGUUCACAGGUGGUGCAUGGUCGUCGUCAGCUCGUGUCGUGAGAUGUUGGGUUAAGUCCCGCAACGAGCGCAACCCUCGCCCUGUGUUGCCAGCGGGUUAUGCCGGGAACUCACGGGGGACCGCCGGGGUUAACUCGGAGGAAGGUGGGGAUGACGUCAGAUCAUCAUGCCCCUUACGUCCAGGGCUUCACGCAUGCUACAAUGGCCAGUACAACGGGUUGCGACAUGGUGACAUGGAGCUAAUCCCUUAAAACUGGUCUCAGUUCGGAUCGUAGUCUGCAACUCGACUACGUGAAGGCGGAGUCGCUAGUAAUCGCGAAUCAGCAACGUCGCGGUGAAUGCGUUCCCGGGCCU